AAGGUUCGUUUGUUCAACGAUUAAUAGUCCUACGUGAUCUGAGUUCAGACCGGAGUAAUCCAGGUCGGUUUCUAUCUAUGUAGUUGCUUACUACAGUACGAAAGGACCUAGAAAGCAGGACCAAUACUAAAAGCAAGUCCUAUGCAAUAAGGCUGACAACAACUAAAGCCUUACAACAAAAUACACAACACCUGAAGACAACAGGCUGUUA
rnacentral:rRNA from 1 species